AUGGAUAACAACCAGUUUUCCCUCAUGUCUUGGAAUGUCAGAGGGCUGAACUCUCCGGCGAGGAGAGCUGCUGUGUCUGAACUUGCCGCUGCUCACAGAACCCCAAUUCUUUGCCUACAGGAGACAAAGUUGGAAGCGUGGUCGCCUAGCAUCGUGCGCGAGCUGGGAGGCAACCGUUUGGAUGGCUGCGCGGUCGUGCCGGCAGUUGGAACAAGAGGAGGUGCGGCGAUCCUCUGGGACAAGAGCGCCGUGCAGAUCGGCACACAGGCUGUGGGCCUCUUCUCGAUCACAGCCAAGGUCACCCUCCUGCAGUGUUCAUCUUCAUUCUGA
rnacentral:rRNA from 1 species